UAAAAUAUUUCUUUGUUCCAAAAGGCAGACUUCUUAAAAGAGAGAAAAAAAGAGAAGGACUGAAGGAGGAAAGGGGAAGAAAGACUAUUAUUGAGAGAGAGGAAUGUGUAGUCGUUUCACAGGGCUAAGUCCCCGGGUUGCAAGGAGCAGACAGAGGCUUUGAGGGAGCACAGCAGAGCAGAACAGAGCAAAGCAGUUGAAAUGGAAAAAGAAAGAGCUUUGAUCGUGGCAAAGGAGGACAUUGCUUUUGAGAAGAUCGCGAAAAGCCACAUCACUAACGUCACAGCCGCACAGAUGGACCCUCUUCAGUUUGCGUAUUGCGCCAAGAGAGCGAUCGACGUUGCCAAACUUUUCAUACUGGAGAUCAUCCAUAAACACCUAAAGGGCCCAAACACAUCAGCUCAGCUCCUAUUUGCAGGCUUCUCAUGUCGCCUUCACCGCUCUGCAACCCCACAUCCUGGCUGAAAAACUUAUAAACUGAAAAACUCAUGAACAUGGCCACUGCUGUUUGUCAUGCAUUGUCACUGUUCUGUACUGUAUUUCUGUACUCUGCCACGUUGUCACUGCUUGUCAAUCAUGUAUUGUCUUAUAUGUCAUGUUUAUAUGUUCUUUUUUACUAUGCCUGCCUCAGAAAUUGCCCCUUGGGGAUAAAUUAAGUGUUUCUGAAUUGAAUUGAAUGAAUAGCAUUCCACAUUUAUCUUUAUGUCCCUACCUGCCCCUUUACUGAACACGUGCUUAAUUAUCUUCACAUGUGUACUGCUCUCACUGCUGAU